GUCAGCAGACAAUGCGGGGGCAGCCCCGAAGGGGCCGACAGCAGGGGGACACUCUCUGGUGCCCCGAGGGUAGCGAGGGCAGCUAGGCUAGUCGCCUUUGCAUCAGAAAAGACACUGGAGACCUCGGUAGAGGAUAAAGGCUGACUCUCAGCAGGGGGACAGUGCAAGGUUUAUUCGGAGCUCCCGAGGGAUCCCCGCACCUCAGUGAUGCGCCUUGCUCAGAGUGCAACAAAAGGAAUCUCAAGGUUACAUUUAAAGGGUGGGAGGAAACCGAAGGUAGAUACAUUUGUUGACCAAUAAAGACCCUCCAGGGAAGCAACCUUAGGGAUGGACAUUUGGGAUGGCAUAUGAAGUAAUACUUGAGGGGCUGACUUCCUGGUCUCAGACUAAUCACUCGAUGACUUAGACUGAAAGUUCUAGCUAGAGAGGAUGGGAUGCUGAGUGACUGACAGAGAGCCAGGGCGAGGAUUUGGGGAUGAUCUUCACACAGGAGAAUGAUUACACAGGUAGAGGAAGGGUACAAAAGGGGUACAUCAUUUGGGGAAAAUAAGGGGAUACAAAACCAAAACUAUUACAAAGUAUUACAAAGUACAAAAGCACACUACAACAGUAGAUCAAGGGGUAUUUUGGGAAUCUUUGAUGGUUUAUGACAAUUUCUGUGACUUUACAGCUGCCUCUUACAUUGGUGGAGUAUCAGUUGUGUGAAUUAUGGCCCUUAAUCAGAGAUGAACAACAUCAGAUCUACUGUGAAUGUCCUGGUAGUUCCCCAGAGGGGAGUCUUCACAGCUGAGCCACUUGUGUAUGGACUUGUGCAUGAUGAAAAGCACUAUUUCACUACAUGGGAUUUGCCUCUUAUCAGCCUCCUCCCUUGUCUUGUUCAACACUCAGCUGUUGCCUUGGGUGAUGGGUGUGCACCUCCUCUUCACCUGGGCAGUCACUUCAAAUGGCAGAUUGUUUUGAGUAUUAACCAUUAACAUUCCAGUCUCUCACAACUAGUUACAUAGUUUCCUUAUUCUGGUGGCUAAGUGAUUCCGUCUCUUCUCAUACUAAUUAGUCCCAUGCUCAGUCUUUCUCUUCUGAUUUGUAGUCACAAUCUCCCCCUGCCAGAAUUAACUUUUGCCCACUCAGAGCUGAUUUCAGCACAGUUUCUGAGUUAGCUUUCCUUGUGGUUGCAUUCUUUUUGUCCAUUUUCAGUGACACAUUCUUGUUUCCCAGGUUUGUUUACCUCUCCCUCCACAGUGGCCUAAUUUACAGUCCAGGUUGCAGGUAUCCAUGUAGGCAUAUUUGGCAAUGGGGACUUCAGUGGUCACAGGUGCAAUCUGUUCCUUAACUUGAGGGGAUCUUAGACCCUCUGAGCAGUUGCUUCUUUACACAGUUUGCCACAGUGGGAUUUUUUUUCUGCAUCCAUUACCCAGGAUGUGCUAGCAGAUCUCAAUUACAUCAGGCUUGGAGUUAGAGCCAUCCUGUUGUUCCCAUCUGUGCUUAUCUCCUAACAAAGUCCUUCUGUAGUAGCAGUGUUUGAGACUGGCAGUUGUGCUCUUUAAGUCCUUACAGUGUCCCACCACACUCAGUGAAGGAACUUUUCCUAAUGUCAAUCUGAACCUCUCCAGCUGCUGGCACCCAUGAGGAAGCAAUAGGGUCACCCAUAGCCUGCUCUUUUCUAGGCUGAAAAAGCAAAUUUACCUCAGACCUUCCUUGUAAAUCUGGCCCUCGAGAUUUUUCACCUUCAUAGUGGCCUUCCUCUGAACACACUCACACAGUUUGAUGCCUUUCUUUUGUGUAUACUACUUUAAGGGUUUCUCUAAAUAGGAUAACGCUGCCUGAAUAAAGAGACCAGAGCAGAAGGGUUGCACAGGUGGAACAGGGCUGUGUUAGAAAGUCCAGAUGGAGAAGGAAAUUUUGUACAAAAUGGCUCUGAGCCAUCAUCAAUCCUUCUUCAUGAUCCAAAGAAUCCAAUUCUGUUAACAUGGUAUGACUCAGAUUGCUUUAAAUUGCUUGGGUUUUGGUUUUUUUUAGCUUAGGUGUUGGCUGUACUGUGAGAAGGCACAAUGGCAGGUAGAACCAGGGAUUUCCCUGUCCAUGGCAAGGGUAAGGAAGGGCUACUGGGAUGGAGGGUGGAAGGGUGGCGAAAGUGGUGGUAUGUGGCAGGUAUAAGUGCUCUCUCAUCUAGGAACAGCAUGGACUUUGCACCAGGGACAUGCAGCAUGCAGGAAGGGGUACAGAUUUCUGCUGCAAAAAAUUAGAAAAUUACCCCAGGUCAAGAUAAUGUGAGAAGGGUUUAUUUUAAGGAUCAGACAGCAUCCCACUCUGGAGCAGUUGGCUGGCAUGGAAUGCUGAAGAGAAGAAGUAGACAAAAUUUAAGAUUGUGAGCUACUUGGAAGAGGAUCUGUGUCUGUCCUCAGCACCACCAAAAUCAUGCCACAAAGCUGAAAUAAUAUUGUGAAAUAACUGUCAUAGCUAUUGAAAGUGUACCACCUAUCAUAACUGAGCAUGUUUGUGAGGUUCUGAGUGUGCUUCUUCCCCCACAACCUCUAUGAGGCAAGGAAGCACUCCUCCAUUCAUCCCACACAAGGACAUAAAAUGAUGAAGACCUGGAAACUGUGUCAGGGCAAAGAAACCUCAGCAAUCCCAAAGCCCAGGAAUAUCACUCAGUUCUGAUCCCCAUUUCCCAUAUAUGUUUCUUCAACUCAGUUGAGGAGCUAUCGCUCUUGCACCAAGAAUGACACAGGAACAGGCGAGAGGCAGGAUUGUAGAACAGGUAUGUCUGAUAUUCCAGGUGUUCCACAUAUUGUACACAAACGAAGACUGACAUAGAGGUGUUACUGCAAGAGCAGUAACAGAUGAUCCAGCCACUCACCUUAGAUUCAGCUGUGAGGAGACACAGCCCUGCAAAGACCCAUUUAACUUCCAGGUUUGUUUCUCUUCCGCUCAGAAAUGAAAAUUCUCCCAUGAAGGCAAUUUGCAGGCUCUUCCUCCUUGCCCAGAUCACUCUUGAUGGGCAUUGGUGAAAAAGCCAGCCAAAGUACAGACUCUGGGUGCCAGUUGUCAGGGUGUGGGAGAGACCUGAGAGCCUGUGGCACCUUCCAGCCUAUUUGGGUAAUUCAGGGAGUUGCAGAGAUGUACAGUAGGAAAAUGUCAUAUAUUCAAGUCCAGACUGCCAGCUGGUGUUAAAACCUCAGGCUCCCUUUUGCUGGCCCUUUUGGGGUGACUUUUGCUUGAGGGUCUAUUUAUGUGCCUGAUAAAACUGUGAGGCAAACCAAAUAUUUUCUUCUGAGAGCACUCAACAGAUGAGCAGCUGAAGGGAAAGAGCUGUUUGGACAUCUACCACUGGGAUGUGACAACGGAUGCUAUGUAUGUCAGUCCCAAGAGACCCAGGAAAAAGCUGGUGAGUUUGCUGUUCUGCUUGGCUGUGGGUGACCCUCCUGUUAGUGUCAAGCAUCUGUUCUCAUCCUGAAUCACUAUGGGAUGCAAAACAUGAGCAUGGGGUGAAGACCCCAAAUGACAUAAGCAUUACUGUGUGUCUCAUCUGAGACAAUGUCAAAUUAACCUUCAAACCUGACACCUUCUUGGAAAAGAUUAAUUUAUUGCCAGUUUAAAAUGGAGUUGGAUACUGGAAAAACCACCAUUCUCUUACCCUCUCCUGCUACCAAAAUCAUGGAUGGGUUCAGCUUUGGCCAUGGCAGGUCUGGCUGGAAACCACCUGGAGCUGGCUGUGCCUGACAGAGGGGCAGCUCUUUAUGUCUUCCUACAAAAACCACUCCUGCAGUCACACAGGCCCAAUACAUAGACCCGAUUCAAUUGUCUUUCAAGCCUGUGCUGCUGGAAACCCCAGGCUGCUGUGGAAUACAGCUGCCCUAUUCCAUUAUAAGACCAAGAGGGCAGCUACCCACUGUGCAGAUCUCAAAGAUGUGGUGUAAAUCAAAUCUGAGUCAGCAGCUUUGCACUCUACUCCUUUGCUGACUGGUUAACAGAGCAGUAGCUACGAGCGUUGUUUUCCAAGAGAAAUGUAGAUUUUAAUUUGAACACAAUUUCCUCACCCUGAACAAUUCUCCCUCUCACAUGCAUUCACAGAAUUCACAGAAUGACUAGGUUGGAAGAGACCUUAAAGAUCAUUGAGUACAACCCAAUAUUAGUCAAUGAAUAUUGUUUCAGAAAAAGCAGAAGAUCCUGCUAUUCCAACAGUCAUGUCAUAUUCCAGUAUGGAAAAACACUGUUUUUUUGGAACAACACUCCUUCUCCCAUUUUUUCUCAGGAACUGUGGUCUACUGGUUUCUCCUAUUGACAACCUUCAUUUUGUUUUCUCUCCUGGAGGCUGCUCAUGCUUCCAAGACUAAGCACAGAAACUGCAUGCCUGGCUCUAUAUUAAAUCAUGGGAAUAAAAUGGGAAUUAAAUUUAAGAGAUCAUUAUCACAGAAGCUUUGUGUUCUGUGUCCUGCUGUAAUUGCUGCUCAAUGCACUUAGGCUGUUGCCAACUUCUUCUCACUGCAAAAGUAAACCUCUGAACUGUUUUCUUUGUGUUUUCU